GCCUGGGUGGCUCAGUCGGUUGGGCGUCUGACUUUGGCUCAGGUGAUGAUCUCACCGUCUGUGGGUUUGAGCCCCGCAUUGGGCU
rnacentral:tRNA from 1 species